UACGAAGGGGGCUAGCGUUGUUCGGAAUUAUUGGGCGUAAAGCGCGCGUAGGCGGUGCUGCAUGUCAGAGGUGAAAGCCCGGGGCUCAACUCCGGAAUUGCCUUUGAAACGGGAUCGCUAGAGUCCGAGAGAGGAUGGCGGAAUUCCUAGUGUAGAGGUGAAAUUCGUAGAUAUUAGGAAGAACACCGGUGGCGAAGGCGGCCAUCUGGCUCGGUACUGACGCUCAGGCGCGAAAGCGUGGGGAGCAAACAGG
rnacentral:rRNA from 1 species